AACCUGGUUGAUCCUGCCAGUAGUCAUAUGCUUGUCUCAAAGAUUAAGCCAUGCAUGUCUAAGUAUAAGCACUUGUACUGUGAAACUGCGAAUGGCUCAUUAAAUCAGUUAUCGUUUAUUUGAUCGUACAUUACUACAUGGAUAACCGUGGUAAUUCUAGAGCUAAUACAUGCGAAAAGUCCCGACUUGCG
rnacentral:ncRNA from 1 species